AAGACAUGACAGCCUAAUGGAAGGAAAGACUGGUCAGAAACUGAUAGCAAAGCUAAGUAUUUAUCCUUGAAUUAUACUGCUGAAGUGACAUUUUUUGAGUAAAAGAUAUCUUUCUGUGGUGAAUGACAAAUGAUGCAGAAAUAAAGAUACUUGGCAGAAAUAUUUAGAUGUACCAGUAUUAAUUGUGGUUCAUGAAAAGGUGUUGUACUGAUUCCCUUCAUUGCAACCCACUCCAUGAUAGACACCCCGGAGGAGCAAACAGGCACCAACAUAGGGACAGACUGCCAGCUCCCUGAGCACAUCCGAGAUACAAGGUCCUACCCUACUUAAGUUAAGUACCAGUUGGCAGGUCAGAACACCAAAGCACUGCAGUGGAGGCCGAGAUCAGGGUGUACAUAGUGAAUGACCAGGGACACAGAAGGAGUGCUAUUUGUUCUUCCAUUGCAGGAUCCUGCAUCGUGGUGCUGGAGAGGGGGAGAUCCAGUCUGAAGGAAGCUGAAUACAACCCUUGCACCGGGACAAACAAAUGGGUCUUCCAGUUCUCGACAUGGUCAUUGUAUGAUCCCUCUCCACCAGUCCUGUCCAGCCCGAACAGCAGGUCUAUGGGGAGCCAUGGUGUCCUCCCAUUUGUAUGACUGUUUCUGGGCCUCUAUCCACUCGCCAGCCUGCCACAGUGGCAUACAACUGGAGUUCAUUACUCAGAGUUGCUUGGAAUCCUACUACCUUUCCGAGUCCUGUAGGUUUUGACCUGCAGUAUUUGUUUGUUCAAGAUUGAACCUGUAGCUUCUGCAUGUGAUUGUAUUGCUCUUUUUGGCUGAAGAUUACCUGGAGAAGACAGAUUUAUUAUAUUGAAUAAGUAAACAAACCUUACAGAGUGAAAAGGGGAGGAGUAACAAAGAAAAUUAAUAUAUUUGUAGCUAUAUGAUCUUUAAGUCCAAUUACCUUAAAAGUGUAGUGAACACAAUCUGAUAGCUGAGUCAGAAAAAUACAUCACCAUACUUCUCAUCAUACUGAGGUAGCAACUUAAGAUACAUGGCACCGAAGGCACUUCUACACAGCUCUCUACCCUAUGGAGUACAAUCCAGUAGAUGGCGCUAAAGAUCAUCUAAGUUUCUUAAAGUUACGAUAACCAAUCAGUGAAGGACCAGCCAUCAAACUCAGAGGCUGAGGCUGUGGCUGUGGCUUUAUAUCAGUCUAGUGAACUCUGAGAGCUUCUGAAGAGAGUCCAACUGUGAAUUUGAAAAGUUAAAUCAGGAAGUGUCUCAUAAGCAAUCAAACCAUCUGCUUACAUACCCAGGUAUUUGAAUGUUAAGUUACAUUCUUCUACCUUCUACCAGAUGUCAAUUUGUUUUGCUAUAGCACUGGAUAUUGUGUAGUUUUAGUUUUCACACUUUCUUAUCCUUUUCUACUGUGGCAGAGCAAGAGCUCUGUCUAUAAAUAGUGUAGUGUUUUGUGGUGUUUUGAUGGUGGUUGGCAAGGACUGAGUUAAUUCCUGUCCCUGCCAAAAUCAUGUGAGAAUGUGGCUGCUCCUUAAUUGAGAGGAGAGGAGUUUGGUGAGUGUACACUGUGUUUUUUUUUACUUUUGUUUCUGCACAUUUUGUUUGUGUAAAGUUCAGUGCAGGCUCUGCCCAAUCUGAACAGUUUUUGUGCAUUUCGUAAGAUGUGAAAGUUAAUGUUCAGCCUACUUUUUUGUGUUUGUUUAAACCUUUUUCGGCCCGUGUGCCUGUUUAUUUGUUACUUUUUUCCUGUGUUUUGUUUAAAGUUUGUGUUUAUUAAAGUGCACAUCUAUGCUUUAUACUGUGGUUUCCUGGCUUCUAAGUCUCUGUCUCGCUGCUGUCCUGUCAAAAACAAAAAAUGUGUGUCUUUAAUAUAAGUAUCUAGUACCUAUCAAUAUGACUGUGUAUAUAUAAGGCGUGGGAAUAUAAUCUUUUAUGCAUGAUACUAUCUCUAUAAAACUAUGUACUAUACAGAGUCAAAUAUGUACCUCAGUAUGUCUAUGUAUAUAAAGUAUCUUGUCCUUCGUAUUUGUACCCUAUGAUUCAAUGCCUCAUGUAGUAGCAGACACAUCAAGCAUAGGAAUGCUUACAUGUUGGAUUGUGUAAUACAACAGAACUGUGUAUUGUGAUUUUCAGAGUAAUUUCCUUUCAAAUUAGGUAUUGUGAAACCAAAAAAGCAUUCAAUUAAAAAUAAAAUAAUUAAACAAAAACAACGCUCGCAGAGCAAAAUACAAGUGUAUACAAAAUGUCUCGUAACACAAAAACAAGCGCCUCCACCCAAACACAAGUGCAGUGCUUGUCUUUCCAGCACGCGUAGCAAUUGUUUACUUUUGUUUUCAUUUCCAAGCUUUCUCUGCUCGCUCACAAUCAAAGGCAAAACACCUUGGAAGUGUAAAAGCUGCAGUUUUACCCUUUGUGUAUAAUUGCUGACAGAAACUUUUUCUUUUCUAUAUGGCAAAACAAAUAGGGAUUUUACCCUUACAAACACAUAUAUGUAUAUAGUUAUAUAUUUCUUGUAUAUAUUUAUUUUGUUAGUUCUGUUCUGAAAGGCACUUUUUUGGUAAAAAAAAAAAAAAAAAAAAAAUUGAAAAACACUAACAAUGUUCGCACACUCGUAUUUUCUAAUCAAAUUGUAAUUAUGAAGCGCCAUUCACAUCUAAGGCAUCUCAAGGCGCUGUACAGCAACAACAAUUUAUAAUCAAAUACAAUCCAAACAACACAAACUAUACAGGAAAACAACAUUUAAAAAGACAGUAAAGGCACACCAGGUUAGAAAGCUCAAUGUUUAGAAGUAAGACUUAAGGUUAGAUUUAAUAGCUGUAACAGUCCCAGCCUCCCUAACAAAGGUAGGCAUGGCAUUCCAUACCUGAGGUGCUCUGUGAUAGAAAGCUCUUGCCACCAUUUUAAUUUUACUCGCCCUUGGGACACUCAAAAGACCUGCGUCCUGUGAUCGAAGUGAAUGACUGGGUUCAUAUGGGGUGAGCAACUCUUGUAAAUGGUUAUUUUGUUCUAUUGGGAUAAAAUUUUGUGUGCAACUUCCCAAAAUAUUGAACUUUGGGAGCUGUAGUUGUAUGCAUGGUACAGAUGUAUUUUAUUUUACUAAAUUUU